rnacentral:rRNA from 1 species
UACGUAGGGUGCGAGCGUUAAUCGGAAUUACUGGGCGUAAAGCGUGCGCAGGCGGGCUUUUACGGCAGACGUGAAAUCCCCGGGCUUAACCUGGGAAUGGCGUUUGGGACUGGAAGUCUGGAGUGCGGCAGAGGAGACUGGAAUUCCUGGUGUAGCAGUGAAAUGCGUAGAUAUCAGGAGGAACACCGAUGGCGAAGGCAGGUCUCUGGGCUGACACUGACGCUCAUGCACGAAAGCGUGGGGAGCAAACAGG